rnacentral:rRNA from 1 species
GGCUAAAUGCGAGCCAGCAGGUGCGGUAUAAAGGAGGUAGCAAGGGUUAUGCGGGAGUAUUGGGCAGAAAGCGCGGCUAGGCGGUUUAUUGAGUCUGAUGUGAAAAUGCGGGGCUCAACUCCGUAUUGCGUUGGAAACUGGUAGACUAGAGUAUUGUAGAGGGAGGCGGAACUACAAGUGUAGAGGUGAAAGUCGUAGAUAUUUGUAGGAAAGCCAAUUGGGAAGCCAGCUUACUGGACAAAUACUGACGCUGAAGCGCGAAAGCUAGGGGAGCAAACAGGAUUAGAUACCCGAGUAGUC